rnacentral:rRNA from 1 species
GUAUAAGAGACAGCAGUAGCCGCGGUAAUACAGAGGGUGCGAGCGUUAAUCGGAUUUACUGGGCGUAAAGCGUGCGUAGGCGGCUUUUUAAGUCGGAUGUGAAAUCCCUGAGCUUAACUUAGGAAUUGCAUUCGAUACUGGGAAGCUAGAGUAUGGGAGAGGAUGGUAGAAUUCCAGGUGUAGCGGUGAAAUGCGUAGAGAUCUGGAGGAAUACCGAUGGCGAAGGCAGCCAUCUGGCCUAAUACUGACGCUGAGGUACGAAAGCAUGGGGAGCAAACAGGAUUAGAUACCCCCGUAGUCCCUGUCUCUUAUAC